CAAGAAAAAUCAUAUAUUAACGGAACCAGAUGGAACUUUUUUUAUUACUGUCAUAUUGUCGUCUUUUUUUGUAUAUCCAGCGUGUUCCUACUAAACAUUACCGGAAAAAAACGUAAUUACAAGGAAUGUCAUUGCCACGUCAGAAAUUGCUGACGUGGAUUAAAUGAACUCAGCCGUAACGCGAUACAGCGGCAGUUACGGCUGAGUUACGGUAUGUUGCGGCUGACAUACGACAAAAAUAUAUGAGUCAUAACCAAAAUAUAUGAGUCAUGACAAAACGGCGAAGUAUGAGUAUAACUCAGCCACACAUUACUGCUGAUUUGUAAAAUGUUGCCUGAGUUAUACAAUAACCCAGACAACGAUAUGGCUGAGUUAAGGAAUGUUGUCCCAGUUAUAAGUAUUUAUAGCAUAACCCAGACAACGUGAUGGCUGAUUUAUGAGAAAACGGCUGACUUAUAUCCUCGUGACGGCUGAGUUAUAUUUCGGGACGGCUUAGUUAUGGGAUGAUGUUGCGGCUGAGUUAUUAUCGAGUGUUACAAAUCAGCCGUAAAGAGCUGAAUUUCCAAAUAACUCGGCCUUGUUAUGACUGACUUAUGUGCAAAAGAUUAAUUACUAUAAUAGCAUGCAGUUAGGGCCGAGAUUUUAAACGAUACGGCUGAGUUAGUUGAGUUACGACAUUACACGGCUGACUUAACUUUGUUUUCUUCCUUUUU
rnacentral:sRNA from 1 species